rnacentral:rRNA from 1 species
UGGGGAAUAUUGCAUAAUGGGCGAAAGCCUGAUGCAGCGACGCCGCGUGAGGGAUGACGGCCUUCGGGUUGUAAACCUCUUUCAGUAGGGACGAAGCGCAAGUGACGGUACCUGCAGAAGAAGCACCGGCUAACUACGUGCCAGCAGCCGCGGUAAUACGUAGGGUGCGAGCGUUGUCCGGAAUUACUGGGCGUAAAGAGCUCGUAGGCGGUUUGUCACGUCGUCUGUGAAAUCCUAGGGCUUAACCCUGGACGUGCAGGCGAUACGGGCUGACUUGAGUACUACAGGGGAGACUGGAAUUUCUGGUGUAGCGGUGGAAUGCACAGAUAUCAGGAAGAACACCGAUGGCGAAGGCAGGUCUCUGGGUAGUAACUGACGCUGAGGAGCGAAAGCAUGGGUAGCGAACAGG